AGUAACAACAGGGACAGGUUUUACUGAGACAGAAAACAAAGAAAAACUCCAGAUUGAUACAGGCGUACAGCUACGAGAAGACUAGGAUUUCAGAUAUAACCAAAAUUCUAUGAAGAAAAAUAUAUUGCAGCAUGUCCUGCACGUUUAACUUUGUCUUCAUCAUCUUCAAUGCCAGUAAUACGAACUCUCAAAUUCUCACCAGGUCCUGCACGUUUAACUUUGUCUUCAUCGCAAUAUAUACCAACAACUUUCACAUGUUCCUGCAUGGAUUCAUGAAAUUGAUAAGGAAUACAUUAAGCUCGCAAACAAGUGUGAAAUGAGAAAAGGGACAGCAAAAAGUACCUUGUUUGGCAUAACAACCAAGGAAUCACCCUCCCGAAUGCUGCCAGAUUCAACUUUUCCCAUAACAACAGUUCCCAUAUCCCUAAAUUUAUCAAUAAUAGGCAUCCUACAAUUCAUAAAAUCAAUUAAGAUUAACAGUCUACAACAUACAAAGAUAUGUUUACAGACUAUAAAUUAUCUUCUAUAAGACUACAGAAGACAUGUCUUCCUAAGUGGGACGAAAGGCAUUGCCAAAGUUAGAGAAGUUGAAUGUGUUACAGAUAACAAUGCUAGAGAUGAUAUUUUCCAUCUAAAACAUGAAUAAACAAAAUCCAUGGAUUUCCUAAAUGCAUCCACCAAUAGUCAAUAACAAACAACAAAAAAAAUGAAAAGAGAGAAAAGAAAAAGGGCAGUGGCGGUUCACCUAAAUGGACCAUUAGGAUCCCGUGGCGGAAUUUCAAUAGAAUCAAGGACUUCAAAAAAGCUAGGGCCACUCCACCAAGGACAGACGUCUUGACCCAUUCUCGUGUCCAUAUUUAUUCCCAUUAGACCAGAUAUAGGCAAGAAGACAACAUCUUAACACCAAAAGAGUAAGAGAACAAAUUGAACAUGCCCUUAGACAAUAGUUAAUUUUUAAGGUUUACAGUUCAUGUCAUACCUUUCUUAGUGUUGUAACCAGAGGCUUUCAGAAAUGGAACAAUUUUUUGUUCUAUUUCAUCAUACCUGCGUAGGAUUUAAAUAAAUACAAGGAUUUACAGAAUACGAAAUCAUCAGUGACAAGGAUUCAAAAGGUUAAUGUAGUUACCUUUCUUUCGACCAUCGCACAGUUGGAUCGUCCAUCUUGUUCACAACAAUAAUCAGCUUUGACAAACCAAAUGUUUUGGCCAGUAGAACAUGUUCACGUGUCUGCCCACCCCUCUCAAAUCCCGUUUCAAAUUCACCUUUUCGAGCUGAAAUCACCUGUAACAGAGAGACAUGGGUAUGGAAGUUAAUAGGCUUCCUACCGGAGAAGAUAAAUCAACAGAAUACAAAUAACAUUUUAUCCAACUAACCAGCACACCAAUGUCCGCUUGAGAUGCUCCACUGAUCAUAGUAUGUACGUAACUCUUGUGUCCCUGUAAGUAAAAAAAAAAAGAGCACGAGAAUUAGAACAGAACAUUCAUCCAACAUAGAUACUGCAAUCCAGAUUCCUCACAUAAAACAAAAAUAAAUGGAAGACUAUUUUAAAUCCCUUACCGGAGCAUCCAAAAUGGUAAAUCUAGUGCUCUGAGUUUCAAAGUGAGCCCUUCCGAUUUCAACUGUUAUACCCUGUAAAUGUAGUAAAUAAGCCAUAGCUAACAUAAAGCCAACAAUAACCUUGAUGGGAUUUCCAUAUACACGAUAACUCAAUAAACACACAUAUUUAGCUAAAGAAUAAACAUUGACUAAAACCCAUGAAGUACCUUGACCCUCUCUUCUUCAUUUGUAUCCAUUAUAUAUGCCAUAUACCUAGCACACACGGCAAUAAUAAGUUCGUAAAUUAGUUAGAACGCAAGGUAGUCCUUAUCUGUUUUAACCAAUCAGGAACACUCACCAGCUCUCUCUACAUUUGUCUUUUGCUUCCUUCUCAUACUUUUGGAUUUGUCGAUCAUCCACCUGACCGCUAAGGAAUAGAAUCUGUCCUCCAAUUGUCGAUUUACCAGCAUCUAUGAUUGAAAAUGAUAGUAUAAAGAUUAAAGCGAUAAGUCAGCCAUAAUAAACUUAAAAGUACACAGACUGAAAGCUGAAGACCAAUGGGAAUUUCAAAGUUGUGUUACAUAAGCUCUGAAAUCAAGGCGAUUAUCCUAUAAUGUCUAAUAUAACAAAAACAUGCCCAUGAAAGAAUAAGAAUUAAGACAUACCGACAUGCCCAAUGAACACCACGUUCAAGUGUCGUUUUUUAUUUGCUUCUGCUUUCUCUUCAGCUUCCUCUUUGGCAGCCUUCUCUUGAGCAGCUUUCUCUUUAGCUACGAUUGAUUAAAUAUAUUAGAAGAUAGGUCAAAGCUCAGGCAGAGGUACCAGAGAGAUGAGACAAGAGCAGUAUGAGAAGAUAAUCUACGAACCUUUCGCUGGGUUAUGCUUUGUAUGAAGCAUUACUUGAUCAUGAUCCUCAGAAGCUGAAACCAACAAAGUCCAAAAAAAGGAGAAAUCAAUCUUGUGGAAAAGCAUAGAUAAAGCAAACUAAUUUGGAGCAAAGAAAAAUAAAGGGACACUGAUGAUCCAGGACCUUGUUGCUCGUCAGGAACUGGGACUGAUUCUUGCACCUCAUCUUUCAAGUCUGUAAGUCAAGAUACAAAUACCUGGUUAUUUUCUAUGUCAACAACUCAUCAGAUAUCUAGUUUUCAAUCUCAUCACAGUAUAAAACAUAAACAAAUCUUUUCGAUUUGUAUGACUAUUUCUAUUGUAAAUAGCCGCUGUAACACGGUAGGUAGAUGUGCACGCAAACCACAGAGGAAAAUUUAAACAGAACUAAAAAGGAACUGUAAACAAAACAAAAAGGGCAUGCUGCAAUAAACCUUCUGCUGCUUUAUCCAAUUUCUCAACUCCAACAGAGUUAUGAUUUUCUGGAGUGACAACACCAUUGUUCUCAUCUGCAUAUAUUCACACCCAAAUUUAGAACCAUCGAAAUAAGAUAUAAAAUAAUUAAGCUAGUUUUCUCUAUCACCUGAUGAAUCAAGCUGCAAUGCGCGGAUCUCAGCCUCAAGAUCUGCAUAUGUCAGAAAAGGUAUGGAAAACAGGAUAUAAGAAGAAGAAAAAAGACAGUUACGAAAGCACAUGAUAAAGAUUUUAUUGGAAACAGACUAAUAGUUACUAUGAGGUGCAUAUUUCACACCCAUGAAACAAAAAUCAUAAUAAUUAAACAAAAGUUAAGAUGGCACACGCAUAAGAUUUCACAGAAAAGGAAGAUUACGGUAACUCUAAAUCCCAGAGUAAACUAUAGUCAGAAUAAAACAUUCAACAACUAAUGAAUGAAGAAAACCACAGCUAGUUCACCUAAUAGAAGAAGAGAGAAAGCUACUACUACUGAGAAUCACAAGCCAUCUGCUACAUCCCUGCAGUUAUGCUGGAAAACUAUACAGCUCCUACUACAAUUUUAACAGCGAUAGCAUAGAGAUCCAGAAAAUUCUCCAACUAAAAUAAGACUAUCAUCUCCAACCAAAACGAACACAAAAUUUGGCAAAAAUUUCAAAAAACCACUAAAUCCAUCUGGAAGUUAAAUUAACUCGAAUUUCAAAGAGAAAAAAAAAAACACCCAGCUCAGCUAAACCCUAAUCCGAUUGCAAAUCACACAAUCCGAUUACAGAUUCAACUACAAGAGCAACAGAUCAAUAAACUCUACAAUCGAUGUGAACACAGUAAGGAACACAAACAUUUCCAACCAAAAAACAGAAGAAAAGAUACGAUCGAACAAAUAAGAGCAGUAAUCGCAUAAUCUAGAAAGAGAGAAGACGCAUAGAGCUUGGAAACCCCUACCCAUGGAGGAUUGUAGAAGGAGGAAGGAUUUCUCGCGAAAGGAAGAAGAAGAAGAAGAAGCAGCGUUAAGGGAUCCCCCCACAAAACGAACUAGUGUCGCUUCUAAUAUUUUGCCCAGCUGGAUCUUUUCCUUAUAUAUAUUCCCGCUUUAAGUUUUCCUUUUUUCUCAUCCGAAACUCACGUGUCAAGUUCUCUCUAGCUUUGAAGUACGACGACGUCGUUUCAAAAUAAAAGGCCGUAAAAGCCCAAACAAUAAUUAUUUACUAUGGGCUGUACUGACCUUUGCAGCUCAUUACAAUGUGCUGAUCAAAGGCCCAAAUCCACGAUUGUGACCAAUGUGUGUGUGUUUUUUUUUGUAAACAUUAAUAUACAACUUAAAUAAAUUCAGAAAAGGUUUAUAUAUUGUGGAAAAAAAUAUAUAAGACCCAGAUACUUUUUUUUUUUUUUGUAACUAUAUUUUUUACACAGCAGAAUCUUCAAUAAUGUUAUAUCUUUUAAAUAAUUUAUUUCAGUUAAAUAUAGUUGGAUGCAAGAAAACAAACACAAAGCACUAAUGUAAUAUCAUUGCUAAUGAAACACUUAUAAAGUUAUAAUCAUGUCACCCUUUUUCCUUAGAGAUCCCAUUUUUUUCUCAAAAUUCAUAUUUUUUAAUGAAAAAUUUAUAUCUUGGAUUGUGACUGUGGUCCGUUUUUUUCAAAGAGAAUUCAGUUAUGGUCGGCAAUAAAAUGUUGGCAAGAAAACUAUGACAUUCUGCUCUGCCAAACAAUUUACUAUUAAAUAUAAUUCUCGGAAAUCAUCUACGACGAGCACGGCACCGGUUCCACCGGACGUUACUGUGGAUACACUAAAGAUCUCCAGCUCGAGCGUAUAAAUGUGUAUUACAACGAAGCUUCUAGUCAAAGAUACUUUCCUCGUUCUGUUCUCAUGGAUCUUUGAGCAUGGUACUAUCCAUAGUAUCAGAUCCGGACCAUAUGGUCAGAUCUUCCGUCCUGAUAAUUUCGUCUUUGGCCAGUCUGGAGCUGGUAACAACUGUGCUAAAGGUCAUUAUUGGCAGUAACCAACAUUGUGCACUAUAGUCAUUUUAAUUGAUAUUUGUCUUAAAACUAAACUAACUAGAACAACCCUAUAAAAACCGGCUAUUCUAAUAUUAUUCUUUUCUAAGUAAUUUAUCAUAUUCUUAAGAACCUUCAUGCUUCAGGACGAGACAUAAACUACAUAUAGUUAUCAUAAACCAAGAAGCAAACUAUGGAACCAGUCACAUUACAACAACCAAGGUCCAUUGGAUUCAACACUCUUUAGAAUUACAAAACACAUUAUGUAAUAAUGUAAGAAUGGGAAAGAAAAGCCUCUACUUGAAUCCGAGACUCUCUCACUUUCUCACAUACACAUAUUAGUUCACAGUGACUUUACCGACCAUACCAGCACCCUGGUGCGGCGCACAGUAGAAGCUGUAAGUCCCAGGCUCGGUCAAAGCAACCUCGAAGGUCUCUCCGGCAGCGUUAAGUAGAGCUUGCUCGUCCAUCGAGAUCUUGGCGGCGUCGACGCCACUUGGGAUCUCGUCCUCAUCGAACACAACGUUGUGUGGGAACCCAGCAUUGUUCUUGAACACGAUCUUCUCUCCUUUGGCGAUAGAGAAGUCGUUGGGAACAAAAGCUAAUGACCCAUCUCCUCCUCCCAAGAGAACCUCAAUUGCCAUGGCGUUUCCGGCCAAAGCAAUUGAAGCUGCAGCUGCUACGGCCGCGACUCCGAAGUCCUUUAGAGAUGACUUCACUGUGAGCUUCGGUGACGCAGCAACAGCGGUGUUGAUUCUGACGGAGGCGGAGGAUUUGAUGGUUGAGGCUUUAAGGCCGGUGAAAGAUGGGAUUGCGACGGUGGCUGAAGUUACUGAGGCCAUGAUAAUGGUUCUUUAGAGUGAUGUGAUAAGGUUUUCUAUUUGCUAUUCUUUGGUUCGAUUGAGAGCAGUGUGAGGUUUAUGAGUUUUAUGUGGUGAGAGAAAGAAGUGAGAUAGGACAAUGGAUGGCUCUCAAAGCAAGCUCCACAGACACGAGUUAUCUGUAGUGACGCAUUGUGAUUGGUUGGGUUUAGAUACUUGUGUCAUGACGUGGCAUUGUAAAGUGGAGAGCAAAUGUCCACGUAUUAUGUGUCUGAAAAAUAAGAUAAGGUUCUCAAAUGACGUGGUAUUUUUAUUUUAAUAAUGAUGUGCGCGUAUUGAUUGACAAAUGGGCCUUAAUGGGCUUUGACCGUCGUUAAAAACGUGAUGAACAAGAUAAUGAGUCACGGUCGGUCAGUGAUAUAUUCACAUAUCUCCAAGGUUUCUCUUUUCUUAAACCCUAGAAUUCAUUUAGUUGUAAAGCAAAAUUGAAACCGAUGGGAACUCCAGAGAGUGCGAGAGAACCAUGUCCCGAUCGGAUCCUAGAUGACGCCGGAAGUGCGUUCGGCAUGGGUGCUGUUGGUGCAUCAGCGGUUUACCUCAUCAAAGGGAUGUACAACUCUCCCGCCGGCGCUCGUCUCUCCGGAGGCGUUCAAGCUAUUCGAAUGAAUGCGCCGCGAUACGGAGGGAACUUCGCCGUGUGGGGUGGUCUUUUCUCAACCUUCGAUUGCGCCAUGGUGUACGCAAGACAGAAGGAGGAUCCAUGGAACUCGAUCAUAUCUGGCGCCGCCACCGGAGGGUUCCUCUCGUUGCGUCAAGGCUUCGCCGCGACCGCUCGUUCGGCUUUAGUGGGAGGUGUGUUAUUGGCUCUCAUAGAAGGAGCUAGUAUCAUGACCAACAAAUUUGGGAGUGUUUUGCAGAACGAGCAGUUUAUGGAGGGUGCUGCAGCUUCUGUACCGUAUGGUGUGACUAUGGGUCAGGUUUUUGGUCAGUCUGUACCGGAGACGACUUCUUCUUCUGGUUCUAAGGCAGGUUCGGGAUCUUGGUUUGGGAGUUUGUUCAAGAAGAAGCAAACAGAGGAUGAUUCAGGGAGCAAAACUCACAUUUUGGAGAGCUUUGAUGCACCUCCUGUUCCAACUUACGAGUUUAAGUGAUGACACUGAGGUCUAGAUUUUAAUUUUAACAGCUCGCAUUUCUAGAAUUAUAUAUAUUCUGCAAAACGCUUGAAGUUAGAACCUAAUUAGAGAGCAUCACUUAUUUUAUUAUCUAAAUUAGAUUUGUACUCGGAUGUGAGCAACGUUCAUUGUAACUAAGCGAUGUUGAAAGUGAAGGCGUUGUAGUUCCAUUUGACAUUCUCCCAAUACAUCUCAUUGAACAUGACUUCAUUAUUGCGUUUCACGGGCAAUGCUGUUGUUCCAUAAAUCCAACGGAAAAAUAUAAAAAAAGAUAAACUGAGAUUUAUGUGAGUGAGGAUCAUCGAAUUGGAUGAACCUUUCCUUAUCUCAUGGUACACCUUUUAUUAUUUGAAAUUGCAUGGCAUAUAGAAAUCUACAUAAUUUGAGUGAAAUAUACACAUCACAAUUUCAUCUAGGUACGUAAAUAAGAUUUACAUAGUAAAUUUUUACGGAGACAAUUCAAUAUUGGUAAAGUGAAAAUGUAAGAUUCAACACAGGAAAUCUGAGUCUGAACAACUACAGAUCAAGCUUUUAAUGCACAUAGAAGACAAUAUUUUAAAUUAACUAGUAAUCAUAAAAUUAGACGGUUAAUCAUUGCAUGUAAUUGCAAAACCCGCUUAGCAAAUCACACUCCCUCGGGGCCAAGUGCCUACGUGUCAUUUUCUAAUUUGCACAAAAAUGUAAAAUAAGUGGGUUCAAUUAGAUUUUUUUUUUCUGGGACACAAGGGCCGGGAUACAAAAUAGAAAGAAGUCGUACCAGGACGGAGUGUACGGAACGACGUGCCCAAUCCCGCCGGGGAAGAACUACACCUACGCCCUUCAGGUUAAAGAUCAAAUCGGAAGUUUCUAUUACUUUCCUUCCCUCGGAUUUCACAAAGCCGCCGGCGGAUUCGGGGGCAUCCGUAUCUCCAGCCGCCCAUUGAUCCCCCUCCCCUUCCCUCCUCCCGCCGAUGAUUACACUGUUCUCAUCGGCGAUUGGUUCACUACCAACCACAAGGUAACCUAUUCUCCUCUUAAAAUUCCAAAAUCGUAACUUACUUCAAGUUUACAUUGCUGUUACCCAAAUGUUGUUUUACUUGUUAGGAUUUACGAUUGAUGUUUUUGAAAAUCUCUGUAUAGGCAUUGAGAGCACAGCUCGAUAACGGCGGGAAGCUUCCUCUUCCCGAUGGGAUUCUCAUCAAUGGCCGCAGCAGUGGUGCCAUACUCAACAUUCAAUCAGGUUUGGCCUUUAUUUGUUCAUUUUGCUCGUUAGUUCAUAUUUGUGCUGAGGAAGUUAUGAUGUUGAUUUCUUCCACACAGGUAAUACGUAUAGGCUGAGAAUAUCAAAUGUAGGAUUACAGAACUCCCUCAACUUCCGCAUCCAAAUCCACAUGAUGAUGCUGGUUGAGGACGAAGGGACACACACCAUUCAGACUUCAUUCUCCCAGCGGACACCCCUUUGAAACUUACUGACUACUUCAAAAUACACGGUGUAUACAAGCUUGGAAGCAUAUCUGACCAUCCCCUGAACAGAGCAAUUUUCCCAGUCACAUCUGUCUUGCAGGCUGAUUACAAAGCCUUUAUGGAGAUAGUUUUCGAGAACUGGGAUAAUAUUGUCCAAACCCACAAGGUUCAUAUCACUAUGGUAUGGUCGACCACUUUAUCUCCACUACUUCAGUGUAUUGCAUAGAUGUAAUACUUAUUUUAAAGUGCAUAUGCCUCCUUGAGUCCUUGUGAUGGUUUAACAUACGCUUUCAGGAUCUUGUGCCCAUGUACAUCAAUUUCUUACAGUUUUUGUGGAGAUAGUACAUUAGAUCCCUCUGGAUCAAACUUCAGAGUCUCCAAAUGCCAUUCAUUAACUGUAUUAUAUGUAUAUGCAGACGCAGAGAAUGGAUCAAAUUCUAUUUCAGAGAAUUCAUUUGAAAAGGUUGCAUGUUUAACCCAUGGAUUUAUAUUGAGUAAAACAUUCUUAUGUCCGGUUGUCAUUAGUUGGCUAACAAAAACUCAUGUUUUCUUCUUUCUUAUAUUACCAGGUGUAUGAACCAUGCAUCUUUUCAGUUCAUUGCAACAAGAUGCCUAUCUUUUUUAGUGGUAGAUACUUUAAAGUAAGUCACUGUUUUCAUGUUUUUGAGGCAGUGUUUGUAACUUUGAUUUGUGUGUAAAAUGUAGUUUGGUAACAAAUAUAUUCCGUGAUGACCGAGCAUAACCUCUUAUUGGAAGAUCUAUGAUUGAUGGUUUGAUCUUAUCCUUGCAGUACUCCAGAAAUGUUAGUCAAUCACGAUGGAUUAUUGAUGAUGAAAGAAUGGGCGAAGCGUCUGUUGAGGUAGUAGUUUCUUAAAGGUCAUCUGGAUUUGUUUAUAUUAUUCAUAAAAACAGUGACUUCAAUCGAUGUUUAUAUAUUUUCAGGAGAUACUUGGUGGAAACAUUCUUCCAGCAUGCCUUGGGGAUUCCUACAAGUUCCAUGCUGCUGGCAGAGAAGAUUUUGAUGUGAGAGAAUUACCCUUGUCUGCCAUCAUAUUCAUAUUCAACAAGUUUAGGCUGAUAAUAUAAGAGUUCUCUUCAGGUACGGAUGUUGGGUUCAGGUAGACCUUUCUUAAUCGAGGUUCAGAAUGGAGAAAGAUUGUAGAAAUUCUUGAUUUGAAUGGUUUUAUGGUGAUAUUCCCUAAGAUUAAGAUUAGACACGUUAGCAUGUUAAUUAAUAUCCAACCAAUCCUUAUUUAAUUAUUUUCAACAUUAAAAUGUGGAAACAUAUAAUUAUAUAAAUGUUUUUCUUAGAAAGACAUUAGUCACAUCCGCAGAAAAAAUGGUUUACUAUGAGCAUGGAGCAAUAUACAAUAUAUAUCUUUAGUGUCUAAUUAGAAAAAUAUUAUCAUAGAAAAUGAACGUCAAAAUUAUUAUUUUGGUAAAAGAUCUCUAUAGUAUACUGUAUUUCAAUUGAGGAAAACGUACUAUGAAAAUGAUUUUAUAGCGCAAUUGCUAAAUACAUGAAAUAAGGUGCAAGUAUAUAUGUAACGCAAAAACCCAUCCAUUGGACUAAAAACAGAUUGAAGAUACAAAUGAAGUCAUCCAUCAUAAAAGAAGAGCAAGUUUAGGUGUCGACAAAAGAAAAAAAGAAGAAGCAAGAUUUAGGAUAAUUUAUUAAUUAAAUUUAGGCAUAUAUACACAUUUUAAAGGUCCAGACGAUAGAGAAAAGAAAACAAACACGAUGGAGAUGAUUACACGUGGCAGUUAUUGCCAUUUUUCUUGGUUAUGUAAUUUAUUAUAUAUAUAUAUAUAUAUACUGUAUAUGUUAUACGUCGGUUUUAGUAAUUGGACAACACUCCCAAUGGCAAUAGCCACUUUUAUUCGGUAACUUCAUAACAUCAUAAUAAGAUCUAAAUGUCGUAAAACACAACUUGAACUUUCAACAUAGAUACUAGUCAAAGGAUACAUGGAAACAAUGUCCAAAUCUUUCUUUUUCAAUAACGCGCCAAGUCACUCAUCUGGCUCACUCGUCCGGUUUGGACCUGCGGUGGAUGCUUCCACCUGAAUCCAGUGAUCCGCAGACAACAGCGGCUUCACCCGGCUGUGUUCUCUUCUAGUGUUAUCCUCUCUUCCAUAAUUUCUCCUUCAGAGGCUCCAUCAUUUACCUUAUCGACAACUAAUAGCUCUGCAACGCAAUUAGUGUUCUCUUUCACUGUCAUUUUCUCCUCAUGGAUCUUUUGUUCAGAGGCUUCAUCAAUCUUCUUAUAGACAAUGACUUCCUCCGGUUUGAACUCAUUCCUUCGUAGAUCAGGAUAGUUUCUAUGGUUCAGCGAAUGCAACCAAAUAGCCACAGCUCCAUCUUUUUCUUCAGCUGAGCCAAUAUGAGAGUAAACAUGUUUCCAUUUGAAUUCUUCAGCUACUUCCUUGUACUCUUCCAUGGACACCUCCUCAUGACUGCCUUUAAACCUUUUGUUGUAAGACGUGAAGAAGCAUUCAUCAAGGUAUAAUCCAACUUCUGGCGCCAUUGGUACAUUUAUUCGCACAUCCCUGGUGAAGAGUUACCAAUUUCCAAUAUCAAAACAAAUUAAUACCCCUCAAACUAUUAUACAUUCAGGGAAAUAGUAAGAAACAAAAAGCUUACUUCUUGAAAGCAGUUUCGAUGAGUGUUUCAGGAGCAUAGUUCCUCAUGACAGCAACAGCAAGUCCAAUCAUUUUGCGGAUUUGAUGAAGCAUGAAGCUCUGUCCAACAACUUCACACUUGACAAAAUCUUUUCCAUCGAGAUUAAUCACUGUGUUUGCGUUGAAAGAGAGAAUGUAGCGAUUCGCAGCUGGGUCUGCUGCUUUCGUUCUGGUGGUGAAGUUGUGGAAGUUAUGUGAACCAACAUAAUAGCUUAGUAUUCUAUUAAACCUCUCUUUUUCCUUCUCUCCAUAACAGAAAUUGCCCUCUGUCAUGUCUCUUCUUUCCUUAUUUUUCAUCUCUCCCUUAGCCAAAGUAUCCGAUUCUUUCGAAGAAUCCAAAUUCAAUUCUUCCAUAUCCUCUGAUUUAGAGCUUGAAUCAGGGGUUUCCUCUGUCACAACACGAGCAGCUACAUCAGCCCCAUCUAGAACUUCCGAGUUUAGGUUAUCAUCUCCAUUAGAUACACUCGAGCUCAAAGCUUCAGACUUGACAUCAUCAAUUCCUAAUGAAUCACAGUUGCUGUGCGAAAUGUCUGACUGAAUCUCCAAUGAUUUUGCAUCACAAUCAGUGUCUUUCCCCAUAACACCAACUGGGAUCUUAUAACCAUUCUCAGAGCACUCUACACAUUUGACAUAUUCGUAGCCUAAAUCCGUUCUAACCAUCUCAGCUUCGCUAUGUACGCAUGGAUCCAGAGCAAAAACCGGGAUAAGAUACACAUACCUCCUCCGAUCACAGAAUUUUUUGGAGCUAAACGACGGAGCCACACGCUUGUACCCAAACACACGAAUCUGAUCAGGUAGAUUCGAAUUGAGCCGCUCCACAAAUCCAGGCGGAUCAACAUAGAAACGACCAGAAACCACCUGUCCCACCGCACUCACGCCCUUAUCGGUUCGAGCGGAUCGUGCCCACUCGUAACUUCGAGGCUUGUUUCGGUCAGCCUCCGGUACGGCUCCGGCGUGGAACAGAGCCUCUUCGAGCUCGCCUUCAAUGGUUUUGGCUCCAGGAUUCUUCUGCAUUCCCUGAUACCCUACUCCACAAAACGCAAACACGAUUGCAACUUUCCGCCGCCUAUAUUUCGGCUUUCUAUGCUCAGCGACGUUGCUUCCGCCGGCGGCAGGAACCGACGAACCUGUUUCAUGGCCGAUGGUUGAAAUCUUGACCUUCUUCUGGUCUGGUUCUCGAUCAGGAACCUCUUCUUCAGGCAAUUUCUCGAUUUCAGGCUCCUGAUUCUCCAUUUUCACCACAAAGUGUAGAUAGUUCUUUGCUACAGUUAAGUUUAGUUCUGUACCCUCGUAGAACCCUAGAACUUAGAAGACGAAGGAGUCCCCCCUUUACGACGUCGUGUUACUCAGCCUCGCAGCUAAGAACUGGGCCUUCAGGGGUCUAAUAUCCUUAGUAAUAUUGGGCCUUUAAACCCAUCUAUUUUUUAAACAAUUGGGACUGAGUUAUUUUCCCACACAUUUGAGCAACAGUCAUAUAUAUAUUCAAUACUUUUAGGUUUUUUUUUCUUUCUUUUAACAUUAAGAUUCACAUUAUGUUCAUUCGUUAGUAGUUGCAAUAAGAAAAUUGAGUUCAUGAUCAUCAUUUUUCAAGAUUAAGUUCAUUCGUUAGGUCAAAGAUUGAAAAACAAUGUUAACUAUUUAUCUUACCCUAGUAUAGAAUAAAGAUAUGACUCGUCGUUAAACCAUGAGAAUUAUUGAUGUUAUAAAAUGAAAACAUAAUAGAGAUAUAGGAGAGCAAUAAAAAAGGGUAAAUGUACGAAUAGGAUACACAAAAGUUUGGUGAUGUGAAUAUUAUAUAGUCAUGGGACUUCAUGAUUCAUGUUUUGAAAUCAUAUAACAAAAAGCCAAUCUUUUGUGACAUCUUAUCAUUUGACGUUCGACCCAACCCAACACUGUCUUUUCCAUCCUUUAUCCUCUACGUUCUUUUUUUCAAAAAAAAAUCUGCAAUCGUCAUUAUUUUCUUUAGAAAUGUGUAUUUUCUUUUUCAUACGAAUAUGAAAUUAAAAAAUAUAUAUAUAUAUACAUUAUGUGUCAAUAAAUACUCGACAACUGCAUAAAGAACAUAUCAACUUAUUCAUUAAAUACCUUCUGCAUCACGUGAUAUGCUGUCCUAAAAGAUUUGUAAUCAUGGAUUCUUACACAGAUCUCCCCAAUUUAUAUAAAAGGAAUAAAAGAAACUCAAACUUAUUCGUUCCCUUCUUGUAAUAUAUGAUCAACCCAUGCAUACCCAUGUUAACCAUAUCAAAACAUUUUGGAUGCAAAUAUUACACUAUUUUUUAAGUAACAUACUACCAAUUACUGAAGUAUUUAAAAUACUAGUAUAUAUUCAGUUAUAAUUUCUUCUUCUAAAUUAUAAUAUUUAAUAAAUAUAAAAAUAGUAAUCAAAUGUUUGUAUACGGAUUUGAAGAAAUACACAUAAAAAUUAUACUAGUAAAUGACGAUAAUGAUGAUGAUGAUAUGCAUGAGAGUGUCUACGCAUGCAUAAGGAGAAAAGGUGAAAAGGAGGAAAUUAUAAGUUCGCCAAAACAUAAUUAUGAUUUGCGCGGACGCCUUGUAAUUGCUCUUCUUUAGUAUUUAAUCCACUAAAUCUCACUUUUGCAAAACUUUCUACCCGAAAUAUUUAUUGAAUCGAAGGAGUUGAAACCUUUAAGAUGUUUCAGGUUUGAAGUAUUUAUUACAAACCAAAACUGUUUUUGGAUUUGGAUGUUUCAGUAUAUACCUCUUUGUUAUUUAUACUACAUUUACCAAAGUACUUUUUUGUUUUUUUGGGGUUAAAACGUAGUAGUACUUACCUAACAUCCUAUCACAAAUAAGUGAGCAAAAUGGAUAUUAGAUGUUUUGAAAAAUAAGUUAACAAAUGGUAGAUGUUAGAUACAUGUGCACAAAAAUAUGCUUGGUAAUUGUUGUUUGCGCAGAUAAAUUAUAAGCUUUCAUGAUAAUAAAGCUAGCAAUGAUAAAUUUAAGACGACGACUAGCCAUUCAUUAUACUGUGGUGACCUGCGUAAACAUGCAAAAAUUUAAGACUAUUAUUUCAAAAGAUUGUUUUUGUAAAAUUACCUUUACACAUAUGUAUAUAUAUAUACCUAAAUAAACGGAAACUAGUAAAUUUUGCAUAUUUAUUGGCCGAUUUAUGUCAAUGUGGGAUAUGCAUGGGGUUUUUUUUUUUACGUUCAAAGUGCAUCUUCUAAAAUAAAGACAUGAACAUAUAAAUUAAUUUGACGUCCACAACGAUUCUUGUAAAAGUUUUUGCGUGAAAUCGUUGUACAAAAUUUAAUUCAUUUCACAUUUGUUAAUUUUGAUUUUUGAAAAUACCAAGUUAAUAAGUAAAAAAAAAAACUUACAAUACAGAAGUUGAAUGCAAAUAGCCUGUAAUGCUCUGGAAAGCAGAAAAAUUUGAGACUUUUAUUAAAUGAUUCAAUCAUAGCACUGACAUCUUCACAAUCCGACAAACCCGAUAUUUCAGUUUUUUUUUUUUUAAUAACUAUCAUUAUUAUUGAAUGAAAAUAAAUAUCAAACCCAUUUUCGGAUUUCUUUUGCAUAAGGAUGUUCAACCUAAUUGCGUAGAUCAGCUGAAGAAAUAAACUAAAUUGACAGACAAAUUAAAUCAGUGAUUUCUCUUAUAAAACUAGUGCAGUUUCUUUCUCCCAAAUUGGUAAGUUAUCAGAGUCGACUAAAUCCAUCAAACCGUGAAACUUUGUCAAGAAAUAGGAAUGUUGAUUUGAUUUUAAAAUAUAGUUAACUUGAAAUCUUUAUAGCAAGGAAAAGUUUAUCAAUAUUUUGAAUUUACUACUUUUUUCACUUGUGAAAAUUAAUUUGAGAGAGUAGAUAGGAUAGGGGAGGUGUUGUUGCCUGAUGGCCAAAAAUAGGGGAGGUGGGUUGAAUUCAGGCAAUAAAUAACGAAGGAGUAGUACGUAUUAUUAUGAGUUGGUGCAAUUAAUGUAUCGUGAAGGUGUGCAUGUAUUAUUGUUCAUACGGAUUUAUGACGAUACUAACGCCACUUUUUAUGGAAGUUUGUUCCUUUAUUCACUUAAAAGUUAAAACUAAUACAAUUAGAGAAAAAUGUUGUGUGGGAAUAUUAUAGUAUUAAACAAAAAGCAGGGAUUUGUCGAAGCUAUUUUGUCUAGGAGCAUAAAAAGGAGAUUAUGAAGGUCGUGGGUGUGAUGAGUGCGACACAUUUAUAUAUCAAUCCACGGUAGGGAAAGAUGUUUCUUUCAAUUACUAUUGCGAAUCUGUAAUGUUCCAACAAAUUAUUCAUAUUGUAGUAUUAGACGUCAAGAAAAAAGAGAAAAGAGAUUGUUACCAUUGUCAACCCUAAAGAUUUAAACCUUUUUCAAAAUGAGCCUAUAACCAAGGUUGGAAGUCAAAUAGGUUUAACCUUUAGACGUCUUUAUUGUUGUUAAUUCAUUUUUAGUUUUUUUUCUACCAUCCAAGAUGAACCUUGGAUUCUGUAAUCCACUCUCUCUAGUGGAUUGGUAAAUGGACCCAUUAUAUGGAAGUUGUCUCGCACCGUCGCAUGAACCAGAAGUGAGAAAAUUGUUAAACUCGAUCAUAUCAACAUGAUCCGCAACAUUAUACUAAACUAUGUACCAAUAUAUAGAUUUAUUACUCGUUUAUUAUGCACUGAUGAUAUACAUUGCUACGUUUACGUGUGGAUAUAUAUAAAUCGGUACCGUGCUUUCGGAUUUAUUUACGUUACUAUUAAUCAUUUUAAUUUAUUUAUUUAUUAGUAACGGUUAUAAUGAUAAUCAACGUGACAACAACAUGCACGGUGCUACUCACGCAAAUUUUUGGUAAUCUAAUAACUAAAUUAUUACAAUUCAUUCAACAUGUUUAGUUUUGUAUUACAAGUUUGUGUACCUAAUAUAUAUGAUGAAAGUCAAGAAAAUCACAUAUUAUGAAAAUCGAAACCAAAAGUAGCAAUUACUCGACUUCAAAGUUAGAUAUAGGUUAGAUUCCAACACUUUAGUUUGUUUUAUAUUCAAUAUUUAUGCUCUUGAGUCUUGACAAUGAGUUGGUAUAAAACGAGUACGAACAAGACUUGAUGCUUGUCGACAAAAAAAAAAAAAAAAAGAACAAGACUUGAUGCAAUUGGUUUCAGCAAAAAAAUCCAUUUAUUAGUGAUUUUUAGAAAAUACUCUAAGUCAUUUAAUCAAUAUUAUAUUGUUCCAUAAAACUUUAUAUUUCUGGUGUUAGUUAUUUAAUAGUAAAUUAUCUUUUUGGGUUACACUUUGUACAUAUUGCCAACGUCAACGUUUCUUUAGCUAUGGGAAAACGGUGAAAGAAAAAAAGAAAAGAAAACAAAAGCAAACGGAAACGGUAGGCGCAAAGGUUAUCCCCGUUGAAAGGUUGCUAACUAUUUUUAGUUCUUUAGUAAAGAUCUCACCACAAGAAAGAAAGAAAAAAAACUAUUCACAAUUUCUUCUUUUUUAUAAUCUCUCUCUCUCUUUUCAACCAUUACCUGUUGAUGUUGUUAGAUCUGAGGUCUAUUCUCAAAUCCGAAUCCUUCGAUCUCUUCUCUUAUUCCAUCACAACCUUCUAGGGUUUUAAGCCUAGCUAUAUAUAUAACCCUUCAUAAAGAGAACUCUUAUUCAUCUCUCUAUGAUCUCUUUCUCUCUCUCAGUACCAAUAAAUAUCACCACCUUCCUUCUCUUCCAUCACUAUUCCAUUUAUUACAAGACUCCUUUGUGUCUCUCUUCUCUUCGUGUAGUAAAUACAAUCUCCUUGAAGAACAUUGGAAACAGACCGGAUCUUUCAACUUUUGUUCCUUUUCAUGAGGGUUUGACUAAGAGUUUCUUACAGACUUCUUUGGCAUUCUGUCCACCUCCUUCUAUACAUAUCUGCAUGUAUAUAUAUAUGCCAUUUUGUGUGGAAGAAGGAGGUGGGUAUACUGCCAAUAGAGAUCUGUUAGGGUUUCUUCGUAAAACCCUCUUGAUCGAUAUAUAACUUUAUCAAUAUCUUGAAUCUGACGAUCUUGUUUUGUUUUUGUUGACGAUGACGAGCUUCCAUGAUUGAGGUAAUUUUUCGAUUAACCAUUGUUUCGAUUCAGAUAUAUUUGGAUCUCAUGCUCCUUUUGCGUUUGAGCUAUAAAAGUCGUUUUUGAUAUGUGUUCUUAACUGUUCUAUAUGUCGAGCUUGCAUUACAUUUUUAUGUUUUUUUUUUUUUAAAGCCCAAUAUAAUUAAGCAUAGACAUACAUAACCGUCGUCCUUUUACCUCAUUUCUAGUGUGUAACAUCUGGACUAUAUCGUAAGAAGGUUGACUAGUGCGAGGUUCAUAUGUUUCGGCUUCUAGGAAAAAGGUUAAAACACUAGUAAGAAAAAGAGACUAGGACCCAGAAUUUCAAAAAGGUAAUCAAGGUUUUGUUUUACUUUGAGAAAUGGUAAUGUGGGAAAGGAGAGCAUCUUGUUUUUGAAGUCCACGGUGUUAUUAUGAUGUUCCCUUUGUUCUAUUUGAAGUCGAAGACACAGUAUUAGAGAUUACGUGUACUCCUUCAUUUGGUAUCAUUUCUGACCUAUAUAUACAAAGCUAUAUUCUGAUCAAGAUGAGUUGGAUAUAAUGCAUAUUUGUUCCUUGAUUCUAGGUAUUUGUCAUCUCUAGGAAUAACAAACAAGCAAGUCAUACUUUUAUUAAAAAUUUGGGUAUGCAUGUAUCACAUUAAUUUACAAUGCUGGUUAGUAGAUGGCUCUAUUUUGUUCUUUACUUAUUCCUUGAUUUUAUAGAACAAACUAUAAUUAGAUUAAUAUUAAACUUCGUCUGAUUGAACUAUAGAUCUCCAUUGUCACUGAAACCAAGUUUACAGAGAUCCAUACUUACUGCAGAGAUCUAAUUAGGGUAAUGUGGCUUCUGGUUUCAAUUUGCGUUAAUUAUACUUAGAAAAUAAUUAGAUGAUAUAUAAAUUUGCACAUUUUUUUAUUUUUUUUCUGCGCAGCUGAUUAUUUAGUUAACAUUAAAAACAAAGUAACGAGCUUUGAAUUAGUAAUGAAAAUAACAUAAAAACGUACGUGUUCUCCAGAUCAAUACAUCGUAUCUAUAUUUAAUUUGUGUAAUUUUUUAUUUUUUUUGGUAGUGUGCAUGGAGCCAAUAUGAAAGAGGCACUAAUUAAGGAUCAUAACAUUUUAAUUUGACACGAAGGUGUGCGAUGAAUAUCCGGAAGAUAUGAUAUUGCUCUCUCACUUGAUCAAGGCAUUAGUGAAGAUAUCAUAAAGACUAAAGAGGAACUCACUUAUCAAGCGAGUAAGCCACAUAAUCCGAAAUCAUUAAUAUAUGUUGUCUCGUGCAUGACUCUCAUCUUCUAUAAAUUGUGUUUAAAUGGGUGUUAUGUAUUCAACAAUCUCUCCAUUGGUGGGGGUGAACCAAUCUGCGGAUUUAAUUAUAUAUAGUAGUACCUAUAGGGUUCACAUAAAUGAUUGUGGUAACCGAUCGAUUGACUUUAUUCUAUGGUUUUCAAAUUCUUGUAAAGUUUGCUCCACAUAGUAAUAUUACACCACUCGAUCUGGACGUUUUACUUUAAGAUGAAAUUGGUUUUCUACGUAUUUUACUUUCGGUUCAAAUUUCUACCCAAAAAAAAAUUAUAUUCAGUUUUAGCUAUAUGUAUGGAUUUGUAUAUGUUAAGAAGCAUAAAUAUUUUUAUUUACAACAUUGUUAAAUGAUAUUGAAGAAAAACAAGACAAGCAAAACUAUUAAGCAAAAUGUUAAUUAAUCUGUAAAUGAGUUAUUUUAUGCAUAAGUUUUCAUUCUAGUUAAUUAUGAGUCGAUUUUAAACAAAUAGCGAAAAUAUGGUUUUAGGUAAAGGUUAUCGACUAUCUCUAUAAUCUAACAAUAUCAUUUGUGGACGGACUGUCAUAAAAACAAAUCAAACUUCGUUGGUGGAGCAAAAAAGUUUACAUAUGGGUUUCCGGAAAAUGGGUUCCAAUCAGUUUAUAAGCAUGGGCUUCUUCAAGCCCGGCAAAACAAAUUUAUAGAACUAACACUAUUAUAUAUUAGCAAUGUAGAACCACUAGACACGGAUCACAAAAGCUGAUUAAGAUCAAAUACUAGUUGUUUUUUUUUUGAGUCUGAAACUUGUGUGCCAUUAUAAACUACCUAACCUUUGUAUAUUAUUUAGAAUAGUAAAAAUAUAUAUAAAUUGAUCCACAUACACAUGACUCCUCCUUUACUAGAAUCAAACUACCACCAAAGAAAGCUAAGAACAAAGAAUGGUUUGGAUUUGAAUCCUUGAAAAUAUGAAUAAGACUUGAUCGUUCGACCAUACACAUUUUUGACAUUUCUUCUUAUUUGUGAUAUAUAUAUUUUUAUAGUAAAGGCCGAUUUGCUUUUGUGUACGAUAGCAAUCAGCUCUUUCAAAGUAAUAUAUACUCAAAGACAAGGUUUUUAGCCAGACGUGUACAAUUAUUUUAAAUUAUAUUUAAGCGCAGAUUUAACUUUAAAUCAUCUUUUUCUUCUUCUUUGUUGGUCGUAGGAUAUAACUCUACGAACUCAACUGCGGGGUGAGACUAAGACCGGAUCCCAGAUACUUGCGAACCUUGCUAAGCGUGUGAUGAAGCCUCCCACAGUUUUUUAAAAAAGAACCAAUAACAAUGUAAGAAACAACUUCACUAUUAAAAAUUUAUAAUUAAAAAAAAAAAAACAACUUCAGUGUGAUGCAUAAACGUUCCAAAUUAUUAAUUUUUAAUAAAUUGAUUGGAGGGUGGUGCCGCACACAAAACAAACCCUAGCACUCCGAGUGAAGGAUGGCCAUCAAAGAACAUGUGAUGUUUACGAAUGGAACGACGAACCAGCCUCCGUCUGAAGAGUUACUAAUACAAAUCCGAUCGCCUAAUUGUAUAUACUAUCUCUUACUCUGAUCUGGUUUAUGAAGCUAUUAUUAUACAUAUUUUAUACGGUGUGGAAAAUAUAUAUAAGAAUUUAGGUUACACAAAACAUUUGGAACGUUUUUACUUUUUAAUGUCUAUCACAUAUCUCCAGAAUGGACAAAGAACAUUUUAUGAGAAAAAAACCAUAUAGUGGAUAUGACUAGUUGUAUAUCCGUUGUAAUUUUUAUCAUUCAAUCUUACGCUUCAUAUCUUAAUUUACCCCCACUAUAGCCAAUUUUGACGACCUUUUGAUUUAUAUAUAAAAAAUCAAAUCAUAUACAGUCACAAACAUAAAAAAUAUCCCAAAAAGCUUAAUUUCCACCUCAUCAACUAAUAGUGUUAGUUCUAUAAAUUUUAUAAUACCGUGGUUAGCUAGAUCUAAAGAUUCGUGUAUCAGAGAAUUAGUUGUGUCAACAUUUUCACAAAGAUACUUUAAAUUUUGUUUUUUGAAACCAAUCUUAAUGUGUAAUGGAUGCCAAGUAUAACAACAUUAUUCUAUAUCCAUUUACACAAUUUAAUUCGAUUUACUUUUUUUGUAUACAGAAUAUAAGACGUAGGAAAAGUAAACAUGAUAAAGCAGACUUGCAACGGAUAUGCGAAUCUGUCACACGUCGUGCCACUAAAUUUGUCUUUUCUAAUGCUCUUUUUUUUUUUUUUUUUUUUUUUUUUUGCUAAGUAUUUUCUUAUGUUCUUCAUAGAAAAUACUUAGAAAAAAAAAAAAACCAAAUGAAAGUAGCUUAGCUUUCUGCUUUCAUAACUAAUCACUAUUAACGCACCCAGCUAACAUUAUUUGGAGACCGGAUCGCUUAAUGAGUGAGUUGAUAAACCACGGUCGAUUAGGAGUUAGGAUUAAUUAAGAAUCUUCAAAAUAUGAUCUAUACAUACAACAUUUCCCAAAAGUAUACUACUAUACGAACUGAAAUAAAUACGAAUGUGAAAAAUAUAAAUAAAAGAGAAUAGAAGCAAUUAAUGGAAAAAGUUUAUAAUGGAACUGGGGGCGGCUUAACGUAGUACGUACUACGUACUAGUUAAUACGAUCGACGUAAUCUAUAUAGUACAAGCAGGCUGGGGUUUUGGUUUAUUACAUCAGUUGACUAGUCAACUGUGAUGACAGAUGUUUUAGUUGGUUUUUUUAAAGUCACCAGUAAUAUUAUACAGUGGUAAAUAUAUGUAAAUUUUUUUUCUUUUUUUUUUCUUUUUUUUUCCUUUUCUUUUUCUUUUUUUUUCUUUUUUUCCUUUUUUUCCUUUUUUUCAUCUUAAGGUUUUGUAUCAAAUACAUUUUUAUUUUUUUUGUAAGGAUAAAAUAUCAAAUACAUUUUAUAUACAUGGGUUUCUCUUUCUUUGGUAAUAAAUUAAGUGAUGAACCUACAUCGAUGUUAUCAAUACUUACUAAACAUAUAUUUUAAAAAUUUUAAUCUUGAUUUUUUUUAAAAAAAUCAGAACAAUAUAACUAUAGACAGCCAAAAUAAAAAUAAAUAAAGUAUGCCAUUAUGGUUUGAAAAAAACAAAAAUGGUCCAAAAAAAAAAGAAGAGAGAAGGUUAGUGCAACAACAAUAACAAGUUUUUUUUAAAAUGGCAACAUAAACCCAAAAAAUGUCGACAGGUUCACGAAAUAUAUCGACAUAACGCGAGAGAGAGACUCGAUGCAUCUGUAACUCCCGGCUCUUUCCAUUUCUUUUUUUUGGUAAUUCGGCUCUUUCCAUUUCUUCACGUUUCCUUCUUCUUUCUCUUUUUUCUAAUUUCCUUAUAUAUAUAGACGCCUGUUUCUUCUUCUUCUUCUUGUUCCUUCUACUACACGAAACUUAACAUUACUUCAUUAAGUCAUUAGUUCUUUUGUUUAUUAUUCUUGUCGGAAAUCUAAAUUUAGUUUGAAUGGGAUCUCUCUCGACAUUUGAAGAGCGGCAGCAAUAUCCGAGGGCGAGGCGUGAUGAGUCCGUCGUUGAUUAUUAUCACGGCGUUAAAGUCUCCGAUCCUUACCGCUGGUAAUAGCUUUUUGCUUUCGUUUCCAACUGCCUCUUUUUUACGCUAACGUUGUUCUUGUUGUUGAGUUUGACGGAGAUUCUUAUUACCGGUGAGAGAUUUUGAAUCUUCCGGUCUUAUGUUUUGUCGUAGCAAAAGCUUUUCAGAUCAUGAACCAAUCGCGUAACGAGCUUCUUUUUUUGGACCAGCUCUAUCGUUAUUUUUUUUGGCCCAUUAUUGAUCUUAGUGGACCAGUUGCCAAAUUUCUGGACCUAUUUUUGUUUGUUUGCUCAUUAUUAUAUUUAUUUUUUUUCUUUCUGUAAACCGUGUUUCGGUUUGGUCCAACCGUAAACUGGUUUUGGUAGACCAAAUUUAAGUUAUUAUGUUUGGUUCUUUGUUAGGCUGGAAGAUCCUGAUGCUGAAGAAGUGAAAGAAUUUGUGGAGAAGCAAGUGAAACUUUCAGAUUCAGUGCUCAAAACUUGCGAGACUAAAGAAAAUCUUCAUGAGAAAUUCACGAAAUUUAUUGAUUAUCCUCGUUACGAUACGCCCUUUAAGCGAGGGAACUGUUACUUUUACUUCCAUAACUCAGGUCUUCAAGCUCAGAGUGUGCUUUAUGUUCAGGUGAUUUUAAUUUUGUAUCUCUUCUUCCCAUCUCCAAUUUCGUUAACUGGGUUUGAGGUUUGAAAUUGGGUGUUUUUUUCUGUUUCCAGGAUGAUUUGGAGUCUGAAGCAGAGAUCUUGCUUGACCCCAAUACUCUUAGUGAUGAUGGAACAGUUUCUUUGAACACUUUAGCUAUUAGUGAGGAUGCCAAGUAUUUGGCUUAUGGACUUAGCUCUAGUGGUAGUGAUUGGGUUACAAUCAAAGUGAUGAAGAUUGAAGAUAAGAAAGUUGAACCUGAUACUUUAUCUUGGGUAAGGUUUCUUCAAGUUGAAUUAUCUACUCGGUUGUUAGAAUUUUCAUCAUCAUUGAGAUGAAUGAAUCUUUGUUCUCUGGAUUCAGGUAAAGUUUAGUGGAAUUACAUGGACACAUGAUGGGAAAGGUUUUUUCUACAGUCGCUACCCAGCUCCUCUGUGAGUCUUUGGAUUAACGAUGAAACCUCUGGGUAUAAAGCUUGAAAAGUUUUUAUCUUUUGUAACUGUUUUGGAUUGUGGUUUUGUUUCUGUAGAGAGGGAGAGAAGAUAGAUGCUGGUACAGAGACUAAUUCUAACCUUUACCAUGAGUUAUACUACCAUUUCCUUGGAACUGAUCAAUCCCAAGAUGUUUUAUGUUGGAGAGACCAAGAGAAUCCCAAACAUAUGUUUGGAUCUAAAGUCACUGAUGAUGGGAAGGUAAAAUUCCAGCCAUUUCUCAUCCCUCUUGGUGAUGAUGGUUUCACUUACUGUUUCUUCUGAUGCAAAAAGUCUUAAGUUUUAGUUUGAUUGUUGAUCCAACCAUUAUUCAAAUGCAGUACUUAAUCAUGAUAAUUGAAGAAGGUUGUGAUCCUGUAAACAAGGUUUUUCACUGUGAUCUCUCAUCACUUCCGAAAGGUCUAGAAGGUUUUAGAGGAAGCAGCGCUCUGCUUCCAUUUGUUAAGCUUAUAGACACAUUUGAUGCACAAUACAUUGCUAUCGCAAACGACGAGACAUUUUUUACUUUCUUUACCAACAAAGAUGGCCCAAAGUACAAAUUAGUUCGGGUUGAUCUGAAGGAACCGAGCAUUUGGAGUGAUGUUAUCGCAGAACACGAAAACGAUGUCCUCUCAACAGCUUCUGCAGUUAAUGGAGAUCAACUGGUUGUUAGCUACAUGAGUGAUGUAAAACACAUCCUACAGAUUAGAGACUUGAAAUCCGGUUCCUUGCUUCACAGAUUACCUGUAGAUAUUGGCUCCGUAUGUGGUGUUUUUGCUCGGCGUAAAGACACCACCUUUUUCUUUAGGUUUACAAGUUUCCUUACACCUGGGAUGAUUUACAAAUGUGACUUAUCCCAUGAAGUUCCAAAAGUCACAGUAUUUCGUGAAAUCGCUGUACCUGGAUUCGAUAGAACAACAUUUCAUGUUUCUCAGGUGAAUAUAAAUGCUUUCUCCAUUACCAAGUUAUGAAUCUGCAAUACAAACUUUAAUUUUGGAUCCAUGUAUCUGUUACUAUGAUUUGUAGGUCUUUUAUCCGAGUAAGGACGGAACAAAGAUACCGAUGUUUAUCGUGGCUAGAAAAGAUAUAAAGCUAGAUGGCUCGCACCCGUGUUUACUCUAUGCAUAUGGAGGAUUUAGCGUAAGCAUGACACCAUUUUUCAGUGCAACCCGCAUUGUGCUUAGUAGGCAUCUUGGUGCUGUGUUCUGUUUUGCAAACAUCCGUGGUGGAGGUGAGUAUGGUGAGGAAUGGCAUAAAUCAGGCGCUCUUGCCAGUAAGCAGAACUGCUUCGAUGAUUUCAUUUCCGGGGCAGAGUAUUUGGUUUCCUCUGGUUAUACACAACCGAGGAAACUUUGUAUCGAAGGUAGCAGUAACGGUGGGAUUCUAAUAGGAGCUUGCAUUAAUCAGGUAACGAGGGUAAAAAAUAUUCACCUCAUAAAUAUAGCAAUCACAUAGUUACAUAAAGACUUUUGUAAAUUGUGCCUAUGCAGAGACCUGAUCUCUUUGGAUGUGCUUUGGCUCAUGUCGGGGUUAUGGACAUGCUUCGAUUUCACAAGUUUACCAUAGGACAUGCUUGGGCUUCUGAAUUUGGUUGUUCCGACAAGGAAGAGGAGUUCCAUUGGCUGAUAAAGUAAGCCUUUUAUUAUGGUUACCUUAAAAGCUUCCCUCAUUUGGUAGAUUUAAAACAUAUCUGAUGGUUUUAAUCUAUAAAAUAAUAAGGUAUUCGCCUCUGCAUAAUGUGAAGAGGCCAUGGGAACAGAAGACAGAUCGGUUUGUUCAGUACCCAUCAACCAUGUUGUUAACUGCAGAUCACGAUGAUAGAGUCGUCCCACUUCAUACUUACAAGUUGCUUGCGGUAAGUCUCUCAGCUUCUUGUUUGCUUUUUUGUAUCUUCCUCUUCUUCUUCAUCUACCAAUUAAAAUCCGAUUUUGCUUUCGCAGACAAUGCAAUAUGAGUUAGGUUUAAGUUUAGAGAAUAGUCCGCAGACGAACCCUCUAAUUGCUCGAAUAGAAGUAAAAGCCGGGCAUGGAGCAGGACGUCCAACACAGAAGAUGGUACCUAUCAAUAAUUAAACUUACGAAUUUUUUGUUUGAAGUUAUUGUUCAAUAUGAAUAAAUGCUUUGCGAAGUGUUUAAUAACAAUAACAGAGUAAUGUUUGUGAAUUGCAACAGAUUGACGAAGCUGCUGAUCGAUAUUCGUUCAUGGCGAAGAUGGUGGAUGCUUCAUGGAUUGACUAAUAUUUACACAACGAGAUUAACUUAUCUUUCUUAUGUUUUUGAGAGUGCUACAACUGUACAAGUAUUCUUCUAUUCGGCUAAUACAAUCACCAUUACCCUUACAUAUAUUAAGCAAUUAUUUCCGAGUAAAGAGUUUUUUGUAUUUUAACUAAUCACCAUUUUCACGUUUUUGUUUUGUGUAAUAAAAAAAAUACAAAACAAUUAUGAUAAUUCUAGUUUUCCACAGGAAAACAACAUAAAAUCAGGAAGAGCUUGGGGAUUUAACUUGGCAUUUCAUGAAUCGCCCAUUUUCACAUCAGUCACAUCUAGCUGUAUAAUCUCAGCCCUGCAACCUAAAAUUGAUCCCAUGCUGCAACCAAAAUAAAAUAAACUCUCUUUAAUUAAAAUGUUUAAAUGUUUAUCUUUGAUGCUAUUCACACAAAACUACCUUUUUUACACGCAACUACUCUCUUUAAAAAAUGCCUAGAAUCAAAUCUAAAAGAUAGAAGGGAGCUCUUUUUAUUAUCAUUAUACCUGGGAGUGGUACGACCAAGAUCCCCGUGUACAAAUUCUUUGAUGUAUGUCCCAGCCUGCAUUUUUGAAAAGUUAAUUUGGCUCAUCUUAUAAAGUUAUGAUAGUUAAAAGGAGGUGGGUUAGAAGAUAUUGCAACCUGAGUGCAUAGAUGCAAUAGAAAGUACUGAGAGUGUCCUUUUAUCUUGUCGACUUUCAUCCUAAGUAGUGGAACCACAAAGACUGACUAUUACUAAAUAGAACAAGUUUCAAUAUAAGUAAAAUUUGAAAUUUACGAUAGAUUAUCACUUACCAAUGUAUAAUCUUUUCACGGUCCAAUGGACUUCGUCGGUGAAGCACUCUUACUGGUGUCUUCUGCAAGAUUUUCUGCAGUGAAAUAAUAAUAUAGAAGAAAUAAGUCACUUUGUAUUUGAAACAAAGAACGGGGUUGAGGAUAGACAAUUGACCGUUCCUAUCCUUAACAAUGAUUAAAGAAAUGACUCACCAGUUCUUUCAAGGAAGAAAUUGAAUUGAAGUCUUUCUCUUCAAGUGGCCGAGAAAUCCAUACAAGUGCAACAUACUGCUUCUGCAUACAUAAAAAACAGUGAAGUGGUUGGUCGAUAAGUUUUCAUUACAUUUUCUAAUUGAAGUAUUAGUUAAGUUAAGGUAACAAUAUUCCAAAAGGAUUUAACAAUGCUGACCUGCUUCUCUGCUUCUCCUUCACGCAUCAUCGCCCAACACUGACUUCCGAUACAUUUAAGGUCUUUUACUCCGACCUGUAGCCAAAAUACUGCUUGUAAGCUUACAAGGCAGACAUAAUCAAUUGAUGCAGCAACUGUGUACAAUCAGUUAGGCCUUACUAGUUUUUUUUCUGAGUUAUUUAUCUUUUCUUCAAUCUCCUUCAAUGACUGUUCAGAUGGGCACUGGCGGGAAUUCUGAACUUCGAUUAAGAAAGGUCUACCUGAACCCAACAUCCGUACCUGAAGAGAACUCUUAUAUUAUCAGCAUAAACUUGUUGAAUAUGAAUAUGAUGGCAGAAAAGGGUAAUUCUCUCACAUCAAUAUCUUCUCUGCCAGCAGCAUGGAACUUGUAGGAAUCCCCAAGGCAUGCUGGAAGAAUGUUUCCACCAAGUAUCUCCUGAAAAUAUAUAAACAUCGAUUGAGGUCACUGUUUUUAUGAAUAAUAUAAAAAAAUCCAGAUGACCUCUAAGAGACUACUACCUCAACAGAUGCUUCGCCCAUUCUUUCAUCAUCAAUAAUCCAUCGUGAUUGACUAACAUUUCUGGAGUACUGCAAGGAUAAGAUCAAACCAUCAAUCAUAGAUCUUCAAUAAGAGGUUAUGCUCGGUCAUCACGGAAUAUAUUUGGUACCAAACUACAAUUUUACACACAAAUCAAAGUUACAAACACUGCCUCAAAAACAUGAAAAAAGUGACUUACUUUAAAGUAUCUACCACUAAAAAAGAUAGGCAUCUUGUUGCAAUGAACUGAAAAGAUGCAUGGUUCAUACACCUGGUAAUAUAAGAAAGAAGAAAACAUGAGUUUUUGUUAGCCAACUAAUGACAACCGGACAUAAGAAUGUUUUACUCAAUAUAAAUCUAUGGGUUAAAACAUGCAACCUUUUCAAAUGAAUUCUCUGAAAUAGAAUUUGAUCCAUUCUCUGCGUCUGCAUAUAAAUAUAAUACAGUUAAUGAAUGGCAUUUGGAGACUCUGAAGUUUGAUCCAGAGGGAUCUAAUGUACUAUCUCCACAAAAACUGUAAGAAAUUGAUGUAGAUGGGCACAAGAUCCGGAAAGCGUAUAAACCAUCACAUGGACUCAAGGAGGCAUAUGCACUUUAAAAUAAGUAUUACAUCUAUGCAAUACACUGAAGUAGUGCAGAUAAAGUGGUCGAUAAUUGUAUAUUACCUCCUUGGACUUUGAAAGAAAACUCAAAGAGCCUUCAGAAGCAACCAUAAAAGAAUUUCGUACUUGAAUGUCAAAUUUUAUUUCAGUAACAAACUCCUUAUAUAUCACAAGUAUGGGUGACAUGUCAAGCAAUUAUGUAUCCACUAUCCACCAUGUCAUUAACUAUUAAUGAAUUCGGAGUCCAAGAAAAAGAUUUAACGGAGUACUAAGUAAUUGUAGAGUCUCAACAUACCUGUUUUCCUCCUCUUACUUUCAUGUGUUGUUUUAGAAACACCCGGAGCCUCGUCUGAUGCUUCAGAGUAUGUCAAACGGAUGUGAAAAGAGCUUGAAUCUGAUUGAGCGCCCUGCAAAACUCAAAACAGAGAAAACAUGCAAAGACUUCAGUUUUGUUUUCUGGCCGGAGAUUGUGAAGUUAUAACACUUUUGUUGUAUAAGAUACUAAGCAAUAGAAACAUAGGUGAAACCUAAGCAACUCAAAACAAUUUCCAAAACAAAAACCAAUUCAAACAGAUCAGCGACUCACCAAUGAUGCUUUAAGUGGAUCCAAGACUAGAAAUUUCAAGGCGUCCUUUACAGAAAUUUUGUCGCGCUGCAGCCAACCUUCGUCGCUAUACUUUCCUUUAAGGUAUGACCUAUAAAGGUAGAAACAUCAACACUAGAAGGAGAACCAAAACAAGCAGAAGAGGAAGAAACUCUAAAGGUAGUACAAUGCAAAUAUGCUCAUAAACCAAGACCUUAUAACAUGAAUGCAAAUAAGACUUACAAGACUGCACGUUCAUUGUCCGUGAUAGUCGAUGGCACAGAGACUUCAAGACCAAAGCUAUCGAACUCAUGACGAUCCUGCUUCACCAAGUCCGUUAUCCUUGCAACGUAAUCACUACUAGUAUCCGCUUUCACCAGCUUUUGUUCAGCAUCGGAAAAAACGAAUUGCAAUAUACCUAAACAAACAAUGCAGAUUCUAGAACAACUAGAUUCCGAUGAACCUGUUUCAUCAUCAACGGCGUUUAGCCAGCUGCGUAGAGCUGAAGUCGAGACUGAAGAGACAUCAGAAUCAAAAGCCUCGACGGCUACCAAUCGGAAUAUACAUCUCUCGCAGACCUAAACCAGAGAACAUACAGAUGGACUUAAUAAAAAUCGAAUUCGUAAAGUGAUUGGAAGCGGGGUCGAAGAAUAUGUCAGAGAUACAUAAACCUAACAACGUGAGAGUAAGGAAUAAGAAAACGCACCCCGAGUGAUAGAAGAUCUUUGACAGCACCAGAAUGCAGAGAUCGAGCUGUUUCGUACACGCGCCGAGUCUUAGAGUCACCAUGGCUUACGAGGCCGUUGGGCAAGCUCACUGAGUCGCCGCCGGCAGGUACUGUUUCGUCGGACAUUGGUUUUGAAAAAUUGUAGAAGGCGGCGUCUAGCAAAUUAGCAGCCAAAUUCCAGUGAACUUAAUUCAGUUUCUCUUUCUCGGGGCAAAAGAAACAGGCUACUAGAGUUCUAUAUUAACCAUUAAUAUGUAAUACAACAAACAAGCAAAGAGGGCGUUUGGUCUAGUGGUAUGAUUCUCGCUUUGGGUGCGAGAGGUCCCGAGUUCGAUUCUCGGAACGCCCCUCUUCCUUUUUAUUAUAAAUAUUUUCUUUUGCUGUAACAUUACAUUGUUAGUCAGUAACAUUUAUUUUUUUCAGAGUAAAAUAUCUUUGUAUUACAGAUAACAAUGGGGGAAACUGAUACAAUACUUUCUUUUAUCUCUUUCUAUCUAACUCUCAUGUCACUCAAACCAGUCUUUUUGUUGGUGUCCACUAUAGCCCUGCCACAAUGAAGAGCGUUCGUAGGGAUUUGGUAUUCAUCUCUGAGAGAAGUCGAGUUUGUAUAGACUCGCAUGUAAAACUGUUGUCCCAGGUAUUGUCUUUCCCACAACUCUGAUCUUAGGUUCCACAUUCCUACGUUGUCUAGUGCCACGUGUAUGCACUAUGAUCAACGUUUCGAUGUUUUUUUAAUAUGCGUGGAAUACUUGAAAAAAUUAUCUUUAAAGAAGGGAUGGAGUAUUUGAUUAAUAGGAGCUGAAAAUUGAAAGAAUACCUAAUCUUAGGGUUAGCAUAACAAAUUCUGCGAAAUAUUCUCCCUGACCAUCUACUUCAGCAAUCCGUUUUACUAUCUAGCGAAGUAAAUUAUCAUCAGCAGCAGAUCAUACUCACCAAUACCAAUGUUCAAUAAGUACUAAAUAGAUUUGUUUGAUUCAAGAGAUCAAUGUUGACAACUUCCAACCUAGUUUCCAAGCUCAAGCAUUGAAAAUCUACUUAUUAUUGUUGAGUUAUAACCCAAAUCUCUUCAAUCAGAACUCUUCUAAAAAAACGCAGUGAAAGUGUUCGAUGAAAUGCCUCAAAAAAAAAACAUGAUCACAACAAAGUAAAUCAUUUCACGUAACCUGUUUUUAAAAGAUAAAAUCAAAACCAUACACCACUGUUCUCCUACUCAUUAAUUUGCUAAAGCCUUCCAAUCUAGAGAAAAAGGAAGAACAGAGCCAUUACAGUCGAAGUCAUCUGAUACUUAGGACUACAAUAAUCAUGAGUAAGAAAACCAUAACCUCAUUGACCGUAUAUCAAUCAAAAUUCUCCGAUCACUUCUUAUCGUCACCGAACAGUAGACGGAGCCGAGAAGCAAAGACGCCGGUAGAGUCAAUCGAAGCUUGAUGAAGAAGAUCGCUCUUGAUUUUACUCAUACGAUCCGUCAAACUAUCAUGCUCCUUCUUGAGAACAGCCGUGUCUUCCUCCUGAUCGUGGAUUCUGUACUUCUGACUUACCGAUCGGAAGCUCAGAAGCAAAAUUCCAGUCAUGGCGAAGAACUGGAAGAAGCUUUGCCUGUUUCUCUUCACAUUCUCAAUGAAUCCAGAAGCUACGGCAGUUAACGCCUUCGCCGGAUCUUUGCCGGUGAGUGGAUCAACGGAUCCCUGUGGCGCCGAUGAAGCCAUUUUUGGUUACUUUCUGAUAUAAACAAAAGAGGAAUGUGAGAAAUCUGUCACGAAGAAAGAGAGUGAUAAAAGGGUUCUCGUAUGGUUUGGGCUUUUUAUGGCAUCAAUUUAGGCCCAACUAAAAAAAGCCUACCCUUUUAAGUGAUUUUGUAGCAUCAAUUUAGCUUGUCUGUUGUGUUUCAGUUCAUCCCAAGAUGGCCCAGCAUACUGCAAAAUCAAAGAAUGAGACUAAAUGAUACAAUGAGCUGAAAGAAAGUUUCUAUCAUUUGGAAAACUUUAAGGUAGUAAUUUACUUCGUUAACUUUGGCCGCAUAAACCACAACUCUAGCUCUGCAAGCCCAGACUUGACAAAUUCUCCAUUGCUGAAUGUACAACACUCUUUAGUCUUUACGCAGUAGAACUGUAGAAGACUAUUUGAAGAUGUUAAGGGAGAAAAAGAGUAAGAAAACUGGUUGACCACGGUCUAGCCUUCAGAAGGAAAUUGGGCAAUAAAAACAGUAACCUUUUUUAGUUUACUGAUGACAAUCCAAGUGAUACGUUUAUGUCUUGUAUAGUGACAAGUAUCGGUAAUAAAGUGCGUAGGAGCCAUUAGAUGUUUACUUUUAAAGUAUUGUUACCUGUUAAACAAUUGCACAUUGAUGAACGAGAAAGUUUGAGUGUGUAUCUUUUGGAUGAGUACCAAGGGAACCUGUGUAAACCAUCGAACACAUGAGAAUUUUAGGAGUUGAAAACAGAUCAAUGUCAUGGUAGUUUUACUGUUUCCUUACAUAGAUUUCUUUCAAUUAUGGCAAGAAGUGAAUUGAUCAGACCAUCAAUAAUGCUCUACCAGAUCUUUGCCUUUGCAUAUACCUCCUUUUGAAAUUCUCUGUGCCUGAAGUUCAGCAUUGGACAGAACAAAAACUUGUAAAAAGAGUAAAACACAUUUACAUCAGCAUGCAAAGGCAGAAAGCUAGUGGUCACAGCUUUCGCAAACAAUGUAAAGACAGGAAAAAUAGAGACAUCAACGAAACCUGAAUGCACAACUUCCGUAAUAAGUGGUUAUAAGACGUAAAUAUUCUAUCUUUCUGAAUGAUGUAAGAAUUUAGUUACAAGUAUUUGUCCACACAUUCUUUUUUUUUUCUUGAUGAUACAUGUCAUCAUUAAUUUGAAACUUUUGUCAAUUCGAGGUGAUCAUGUGAAUAACGUAAUCACCAAACGUAGGUAGAAUAUGCGAGAAGUCUUAUGGAAUUACCAACUGAAAGUUAUACACACACAAAUCACAUAAAACUCUAAAACAAUAACCAUAUGCAAACCUUGUAUAUAUAUAAAAGAUAAAAAUGAAAAUACAAAACACAGGAUCAAAUGAAAGCCACAAGAACAACUUAAAAAGAAAAAAGAGAAAGAUAAUGAUCACAAAAACACAACAAAUGUCCCACUCCCAAUAUCAUUAUUUCAUCCUUUCAUCAUUUUGCUUAAGCAGACUCUUUUUCUUUCUUCUCUUCCUCUGUCUUGGCGUGAUAACCUGGAAGCUUCUCUUUAAUCUUUUCGAUGAUUCCCUUCUUCUCCGCCGGUUGCUCCGUCGAGUGUCCUACGGGGUGCUCAGUUACAACAAGUGGCGUGCUGGUUGGGACAGGUGAAUCCUCUGUCUCCUUGUCGUUGUGGCCUGGAAGCUUCUCCUUGAUCUUAUCCAUUACUCCUUUCUUUUCUUCGCCCUCGGUUUCGUGAUGCUCCACCACACUCUCCGAUACUGGUACCUGGAUGGUGCUGACGACUGGUACGUCAUGAUCCUCUGUUUCCUUGUCGUCGUGGUGGCCUGGAAGCUUCUCUUUGAUCUUAUCCAUUACCCCUUUCUUCUCUUCUUCUCCUUCAACGGUCUUCUUCUUUUUCUUUUCCUCACCUUCUUCAUCGCUUGACUGUUAGAUAUUCAAACCAUGAGUAUGAUUAUUACUUCAGCUCAAUCAAGAUCGAUUAAUAAAUCUCUUAUCAUAUAAUCUCUUAUCAUAAAUCUUUACUUACAGAGGAAGAAGAGCUGUUGGAUCGGUGAAGCUUUUCGAUGACACUAGGCUUGUUCUCCUCAUCUUCUUCGGUCUUCUCCUGAAGCUCCUCGAGGAGAGUAAUCUUGUUCUCCUUCACUUCCUCGUGCUCCGCAGCUAACGCCGGUUCUGAGAUCUGAGCCUUAUGGUCGAACUCAGACUCGAGCGUCGUAGUCUCUUGAGGUUUCACUUCCUCUUUCUUCUUGCUCAAGAAAUCGAACAUCCCACGAUCCGUAACCUCUGGUGUAGUAGUAGUGGUUGAUGGCUCUUCUGUUGUUGCAACCUUUGGGGUCUCGUGCUCGGGAACGUUGUUCUUGUAUUCUUCCGCCAUAGUUAUAAUCUGAAUGGAUUGAAACGGUUUGAUAAACAGAAAAUUUAAAGAACUUUGAAGUUGCUAAAAAAGAUUGGUUUUGAAGAGGUAUGUGUGAGAUGAUGAGUAUCGAUGUUUGAGAUGAGAGAAGAGAAGAGAGUUGGGUUUUAUAUAGUGUGUGUGAACUGUGAAGAGAAGGGUCCAGGCCAACGCGGAGGUCACGCUGUAAAGAUUUAAUUAUUUUUCUAAUAAAGCAAAGUAUCGAUGGAUAUUUAUUUUAUUUUAAAUUGCAGGAUGACCCCAAUUGUUUAAGUCGGUAGCUGAAUAUCAUGAUAUCACCACUUUUUUUUUUUUCUCUUAAGAUAAAGGAUUACAAUGUUAUUAAAAUAUUAGAUGAAGAGUUAAACUAAUAUUAGAUAUUAGCAUAGUCAUGUACUUUUCAUCUACAGGGAGCUGUAUCGGACGAACUAUGGUUUCGUGGCCCAAGUGCCACCUUGUAAUUUUAUUAUAUGAUUUAAAAAUAGAUAACAGAUGUACAUAUAAGUAAAGAGUGUUUGGAAUAGACUAGGAAUAUAAUUUAGUGGUUUGGAAUUUGGUUUUGAUGUUAUGUCACCAUCCUUAUUCAAACCUUUUGUAAGGCGAAAAAAAAAAGAACUAAGUAGACAACUCUUACAAUUUUGAACAUUUCUUUUAUAAUGUUUUUGUAUAAAAACUUUUUUGAUCAUAUCCCUCUAUGUUGAAUAAUUCUCUAUAGAUGUUCAAACUUAUAAAGAGAUGUUUUCGACUCUUUUAAAGACUUUGUGGUUAAAUCUGUAAAAUAGGGUAAAAUUACAGUACCUUGUUAAAAAAGUUAUCAUUACAAUAAAAUAAAGAGGAAAUAAUUAACUAUUAACAGCUUUUAACAAAACCAUAAAAUUCACGAUUCGUGGCAAUACAUCAUUGAUACCUCUGAUAAGAAGAAACGUUAAAAAACCGAAGUAGAAGAAAAAUGAGAAUAAUGAAGAAAGGCAUCAAAUUUCAACCAAUAUAUGAGCAACACGUGUCUUAAGAGGUGUGAAAAGGGAACUCAAUGGUCGGUUUUGAUUGGCUAAAACCAAUGGAUGUCGGUCAUCUCGGCCUACUGAUUUGUAGAUAUUUUUUUGAGUGUUAAAUUACUAAUUUGACAUUACCUCUUAAUCAAAUUAAAAAACGUUACCAAAAAAGAUAUUUACAUAUAUGCAGCAAACUAAAUUUUUGUUUCGUAGUCAGAUAUUUAUUUAUGCGCGAUGAUGAUGUCCUUUUUUUUAUUGUAUAUAAAACAAGAUUAAACAGAUGGUGGCAUUUGAGAACGCACAAAUUUCUUUUUUUUUUGUUUGGUUAAACUCAUUAAAUAAUGAUUAAUGAAUCGUGUUCAGUUGAAAGAUUUAAGACGUCGUGCCACAUUUUAAUAAAUUGAGACGUUUCAUGAACACGCGACCCGUUGUUUAUUAGCAGGGCCAAAUUUUUAAGAAAUUUUAGGUGUUGGGGCUGUCACUCUACCGACACAUACCAAACAAAGCAAUCGUUUUCGUUGCCAAAAUUUGGUUUAAUUAAUUUGUCGUCUUACCCAAAAUCUAUACUCCAUUUGUAAAUGUUUUACGACAUAGCAUAAAAGUUUGUGCAUCAGAUUUAAACCGUCAGCCAAAAUUGUCCAUAUUUCCAAAUAAUAAAAUAUGGAAGUAGGAAAAAUGAAUGGAGAUGUAAUCGAAAAACAAAUACAAUAUUGAAUCUCAUAUUGUAUAGACCAAUAUCAAACCGGUUUUAUGUAUCUGAAAACCCAAAAAAAAAAAAAAACCAAUACCAUAUCAAAUCAUUGGGGACUAAAUAUGCAGCACUGCCAUUUAUAAGUUGUGCCAAUGGUUUACCAAUAAGGUUACCAAAACGGAUCAAUCAAAGCCUACGGUUCUGUUUGACAACAAGCACAUGAUGCACACACUUAUAUGGCCUGAUUAUGCGUCUUUUUUUUUUUUUAUCAACAUUGGGCCACAAUUGGUCGGCCCAUUAGCCAAAUCCCUACAAAUAUGUAGGGAGCGGGAUUCGAUCGGUGGUGUGAUGGUGUCUGUCCAACAGUGGACUUAUCAAUUGCCACUAGACUAAGGACACUUCACGGCCUGAUUAUGCGUCUAUCUCCCUUUUUCUUCAGUGUGCAUGUUGCGUGGGUUUCAACUUUGAACCCUGAUUUGGUGAAACGAUAAUGAUACUAUACACUCCUUACAAAUUUUGAAACGUUGGUUCCACGGUUCGUUUACUAGUUACAGUAAGUAAUCCCUACGUUCAUUUGUGUAAAACAAUACUAUAUAUAUAUGUCUGAUCUUGUACUACCAUUAUAUAAAUGGGUGUCUUUUGAAAUGUUUUAUGGGUGUAUCUCCCUAAAUCGAUAGUUUAAAGAUUUCCCAAUAUCAAGCGUAUGCAUGAUCAGAUUUAUACAUGAGAAAACAUCGCACACAAUAUAAAGACCCCAUUGAUUUUUAUGAAAAACAAAUUUUUAAAGAUUUUUUUUUUUUUUUGGACAAAAACAAUUUUUAUAGAUUAAAACACAAAUGAUACAUAAACUUUGCGACAAGCAUAAGAAAAAGAGAAAAGAGAGAAUGAUAACGAAAACACAACAAACGUCCCACACUCCCACUCCCAUAUCACAUUAUUGAUCAUGUUUAAUUACUUUUGCUUAAGCAGACUCUUUAUCUUUCUUCUCCUCCUCUGUCUUGGCAUGAUAACCUGGAAGCUUCUCUUUGAUCUUAUCCAUGAAUCCCUUCUUUUCCUCCGGAUGCUCAGCUAUGGGAGUUGCCGUUUCAACCAGCGGCGUGGUGUUGACGACCUCUGAGUCCUCUGGUUUCUUGCUGUGGCCAGGAAGCUUCUCCUUGAUCUUAUCCAUUAGUCCUUUCUUCUCUUCUUCCUCUGGUUUUUGAUGCUCUACCGAGUGUGGUGCUGGCAUGCUGGUGACGACCGGUACGUCAUGACCCUCUGGUUUUUUCUCGCCGUGAGGAAACUUCUCUUUGAUCUUAUCCAUCACUCCUUUGUUCUCUUCCUCUGUUUUCUCAUCUCCUUCAAGGAUCUUUUUCUUCUCCUUCUUCUUCUUUCUCCUCUCACCGUCUUCACCUUCUUCAUCGCUCGACUGUUCAAAGAAAUUCAUAUUUCAAAACCAUGAGUUUCUUUGUUUCCUUGCUAACCACAAAAAGCUAACAAACUAAUAAAAACUUUUACUUACAGAAGAAGAAGAGCUGUUGGAUCGGUGGAGUUUUUUGAUAAGACUUGGCUUGUUCUCUUCUUCCUCCUCGUGCUUCUGGUGAAGCUGCUCGAGGAGAGUAGGCUUAUGUUCCUUCUGUUCCUCUUCUUCGUGCUUCGCCACGAACGGCUCUGGUUCAGAGAUCUGAGUCUUGUGCUCGAACUCGGACGCGAGAGUAGUCGUCUCUUGAGGCUUCACUUCCUCCUUUUUCUUCAAGAAAUCGAACAUUCCCCGUUCCUUAAUCUCUGGCGCUGCCGUUGAUGACUCCUCUGUUGUUGCGACCUUAGGGGUCUCGUGCUCGGGAACGCUGUUCUUGUACUCUUCCGCCAUAGUGUUAACCUUGAAUUGAAUGAACGGUUUAAAGAAAAAUAAUAAACAGAAACUUGGAAAUUCGAUUUGAGCUUUUAAGUUGCUUUUACGAUAGUUUUGAAGAGCUGUAUGAGUAAUGAGUAUUAAUGCGACGAGUAGGGGGAUUUAUAUAGUGUCAAGAGAAGGGUCCAGGCCAACGCGGAGGUCACGCUGUUUAAGAUUUUAAGUUUUGAAAAAAGUAAAGCAAAGGACGAAUACUAUUUCUUAAAUUGCAGAAUGAACCCCCAUUUCUAUGACGUCGGUGGAUGAAUUGAAUAGUAUGUGUGUGAACGAUAUUAUUAUAUGAUAUUGAUAUAUAUAAAUGAAGAGUUAUAAAGUAAUAAUACUAUUAGCAUAGUCAUUUAGCUUUUUAGAUCACGGGAGAUGUAUGAAUAGGAGUUUGGUUGGUUUACAUGGUGGUCGACGUAACCUCCUUUAUAUUUUAUGAAAUCGAUUGUGUAUAACAAAACUAGUUUGAUAAGAGAUAUAUAAAGAAUUUGAAUGGAUUAGGAUAUAAAUAAUGUAGUGGUUAAUUUGAACUAGUCUUUGUUUUCAUAUUGAGUUUUUGCCUUUAUGUUCUUUUUAAAAAAGAGAUCAGAUAGUUGUAUAUAUGUGUUCAACAAGGAGAAGAAUGCCGGAUUACAAUGUUAAUUAGCAGAUUCUUAAUCAAGCACGUAAAGAAUUUGGAGAAGAACAUCAAACUUCAAAAGGGAUGUUUGACAACUCUUUCAAGACUUGUGAGGUUGUUUUUUAAGAAACAACAAAAAUAACGGGUGAAAAUUGCAAUACAUUCUACGAAAUGAAUCAUCAAAACAAAAAUAGCGGGUUGGUCAGACCGAGCUAUUAGCAGGUUCAACUAGCCAUAGUAGUCACGCCACGUGGAAACAUCAGAGAUGUAGGAGAAACUGAAAUAAUGUGGAAAUGCAUAGACUUAAGCCAAUAGAUAAUGGACACGUGUCUGAUGAACGGUACAGGAGACCACAACAAUGGUCGGUUUUGAUAGAUGUCGGUCAUGUGGACCCUAUAGACUUCUGUAUCCACGUCGGUAAAAGCUAGAUUUUUUCAGAUAUUUUUUUUCGUGUUAAUUACUUACUAUAAGACUAUAAAGUGACAUUUUAAAGCUGUUUUAAAAAAUGACAUUGUUACUACUCUAAAAAUUAUCCUUUUUAAGACGUUACAAUUAGAAGAACAAAAAAACAUGCAGCCAAGUGAAUGAACUAGUUUUGCUAUUUGAAAUAGUAAAGAAAAUUAAAUAAUAUUAUGCAUGUGGUUAAGGACGUAAGCUUUGUCCAUUUGUAUAUUAAAAAUGAGACUAUGAUGGGGUGCAUUGAGAACGCACCAUUUCGGAUUUGGCAUACAUUUAUUAUUUAAGAUAAAAUGAAUGUAUCGGGUUCGGUUGAAAGAUUCAAUUCGAUCGACGACAUAUGCCACAUACUUAAUUGAGACGUUUCCAUACACACGCAACUCGUAACAUAACGAUACGAAUCGCUUUUUUUUCUUUCUUUCUUUUAGGCUUUGGGACGGACACUGUACCGACACAUACCAAACAAAGCCAUCGUUUUCGUUCCUAAAUUGACAACUAAAUCACCUAGGAUAUACCUCAUCAAUAUGGAAAUACUACCUUUACAACUAAACAGAAAUAUAAGAAUCAACCUAGAAACAAAGAUCAAAGAUAUAUCGCUUGAUGUAUAUAUCGUUUAUUAAUCCAAUUUUGGUUUCUCCACUUACCAUUUUCUUAACAAAUUUAAACCGGAAAUAGAUGUAAAACAUCGCAUGCAAUUAUCCUCCCUAAAUUUCCUACAUUUUAGUAUAAUGAGACAACUGUACCCCAAAUAUAGAACAAUUUUAUAGAACAAAGACACAAAAUGAUCUAACUCCAUUACAUUUUUACGUACACGUAACGGCAGCCUUUUUCCUAUUUAACGAAAUAUAUUUUGUUUUCGUUUAAGAUCUCGAAAGGCCCAAAUGUGUAAAUAAAUAAUACAUCAUUACCUUAACAUGGGCUUCUAAAUGGGCUAUAUGGCUUCUAAAUUAAAGUCGGGUCGAACCGGAAAGUUAUAACCCGACCCGAAUAUUUUUGACACCGAGACGGAGAGGAAAGGAGGAAGAAGAGGUGUUUUUUGACGCCUAACGAACUCUAUACGAAUCGAAAUCACUGGUUUCGUCUCUGAUUUUUUUUGUGAAUCUGCAGAGGUGUUUCCCGUUGCUGGAUUCUUCGAUUUCGAAUCGCGUCAAGCAGAAUUGAUCUUCAGUCUCGUGUGUCUCCGGCUAUAUUAGUCGACUGAGAAGAGAAGGUGACUUUUUUUUGUUUUUGAGGGGGUGAAAUCGGAGAACGCUGCAAUAGGGAAAGAGAUGAUAACAAGAUCGAAUCUAGCAGAGCAGCUCAGGGAAUACCAGAUUCGAUCAAAGCAUGAUUGGGCAUCUGUUUCUUUCUUCUCUUCCACCUCGAGUUUUUCUUCUUCUAGGUGACGAUUAUUAUUGCUUUUUUUCUUCUUUAUGAUUCGAGAUCUGUUGUGCAUUUUUGUUUUGAAAUUAUGGUACAGUUUGUGUUUAUUCGCUGGAUGUUAGCUUUCUGGUUGCAUAAUGCUUAGAGAAUUGGAUUUGGUUUGUGUGAAUUUUACAUUUGGAAGUUAGGGUUCUGGAGAUCUGAAGGUAACUUUCGUAUCGGGAAAUAGAAACUUCUCAAAUUCGUGGGUUCUACUCAUCUUAUAUGAUCCUGAUUUACAGAAUUAGAUUCCACCUCUUUGAUAAAUAUGCACAAAGAAUUCCGAUUUAGAAGAUAUAGGAAUUGGAUGUUUGUCUCUGUUUAGCCGUCCAAAGUUUACCUGGCGAUGAAAGAUUUGGUAGUCCGUCUAAGGAAUGCAUAACUUUAGUAAAGCAUGAAACUUUAAGACAAUUUCAAGUUCAUUGCAUAUUAUAUACACACAGUAAGGAAAAUAUGAAUCAUAGAGCCAGAGGAGUGUGAUUUGAUAUUUUUUUUCUAUCGUAAUUAUAUUAAGUCAAGCUAGCUGGUUUGUGACCUUAAUGCGACUUUUGACAUUGUCAGUUUAGACGAGCUGUAGUUAGUUCUGUAUCCAAAGUAACAAUAGGUCUUCCAGUGUAGUGUGUUUAUUAGAGUAUUCAGUCUAAAUACUUUUUUUUUUUUUGUUUAACUCGAUUGAUAUUGGAGAGUAUACUUAAUGCUACCAUCCAAAUGUUGUUAUCUCGAUGCAUGGCAUGAUUAUGUCUGUUAUUCGGGUAUAUUAUUUUAGUUUCAUUAUGGGAUCAGCAGCCGUUCAUGCUUAGCACUGCGAGCUUAUCGGGUUUAGUGAUAUAUGGACAGAUAAGAUAGAGAGUAAGAGUAGUAAUGCACCUCUGUAUUUCUUCUGCAUCUGACCUCUUUCCUCUUCAAAUCGCCUUCCCGCUCAUAUACACUGUGGUUCAUUCCCUUUUCUAACGAAGAAAGAGCUAAUUAUCAUUAUUUACAAUAUAUGUGUACUUGUCUUUCCCCUAAUAUUAGUCCCAUAUGUUUCUGUCAUAUGAUUACGUAGACCAAACUCUUGAAUUUUUUCGUUCUAAAAUUGGUUACACUGGUUAAUUGGUUUACAUCUCUUUUUCAAGAUUCAAUCCCAUUUUCUGAUGUUGAGUUGGUCGAGAGUCUCUUUUUUCUUAUCUCUUACAAUCAUGAUUGAGUCCAUUGUUGUUUGACUUUUACUUAGUAAGCUUCACUAACAUGUACAGAUCUUUAUGAGUUAUACAUCACUAAUGAGCUUCUAUUUGGUUUGAUUCAGGGUGGAUGUUGUAGUCUUUGUCAUCUGGGAGCUAGUCAUCUUAGCAUUCUUAGUGUUUUCAGCGGUUUCCUUGUACUUCAAGCGGUUACAGCUCGCAUUCAUCUUGGUAUGCGUAACUUUGCUGCUACUAAUUUGCAUGAAGGUCACAAAGCAAGUAAGGUUAGCCAGAAAGAAGAAGCGAAGGAUGCUGCUUCCGCUAUCUAUGUAAAGUUGCAACAUCUUCUUCAUCCAUAUGAGACUUUGCAACCAUUAUCUCUUAGCCACCAAACUCACCUCCUCGUUUACUGUGCUACUCUACUUGCUGCUUUAAUGGAUGAAGAUGACAAUUAUGCUCACAGCACGGGGUUUAGAGGUUUGAGUCCAGGUCAGGGUGGAUGAGCUGGAAAAUUUCAGGGUCUAGGGUUUUAGAGUCAGACGAUCAUUUUUUUGAUUAGGGUUUGGCUGCAAAUCUGGUUUUGUUCAGAGAAAAAUGUGUUCGAAAGAGUUGUGUUUCAUGUGUAACUGUGAUUGUGAAAUUCAAAAGGGUUUAGCCUAAACAAAUGAGGAAAAAUAUAAUAUCCAAGCUUGCAUUAUUUUUCAGAGGGUAAUUUCUCUGGUUUUCUAUUUUGGUAUAUGAAACAACAAAUAAACCAAUCUUUUUCUACAAAACUUUGUUUUGCUUAACUGUUUCAGAGGUAAUCUAAGUACACACCACAAGGAUCGAGAUGCAGCAAAUAGGAACUAUAACGGUGUACUACUCGGGACUACACAUAGUUGAAAAGCGAGGGCUUGUAGGAUUUCACGUGACUCGAAGAAGAAAAAGACAAAGGAGAAAUUAAAACAAGGGAGAUAGAGAUACACAAGAAAGUAAGAAUAGAGAAGUUGAGGACGUGAAUAUAGCAAAGAAAAGCAGCAGCAAUUUGCUCUUCAACGGUCACAUCUCACAUGCUCUAUUGUCACCACCACAUCUCCUUUUACCCUCUCACAAACUUAUACUAUGUGGC
rnacentral:lncRNA from 1 species